AUGAAUGUAAUUUUUAGUGAGCAGGCAAAUUUAGGUGCCUGCCUCCCAUCAUGGAAUCUGAAGGGGACAGAUCCUUCCAGUUCUGAACCAGUAAAGCUAGAAGAUGGGCCUGGGACCUAUGCUGGACCAGUCGAGAAGACGCGCCCUGGCUGCUAACUCAUGAGGGAGUAAAGAUGGUUCAUCAUAGCCUUAGACAGGCCUUUGCAAAAGCUUGCAAAGCUGCUCUGGUUCUAAGGGAGGAGACCACCCCUCAUAUUGUCUUGUGCCCAAUUUCUGCCUCCAAAGAGUUGAAAGAACUGCAGCAUAAGCGGCUGGCAGAGGCAGAGAGAGAGAGAGGCAGACGGGAGAGAGAGAGAGGAAGAGAGGAGAGAGAGAGAGAGAGACAGAGAAGACAGAGAGAGAGACAGAGAGGAGAGAGGGGCAGAGAGGGGUGCAGAGGCAGAGAGUGGCCAAAUGAGGCCACUGACAACCUGUAGCCUUCUAUCAAAAAUCCUUAACUCAGUAAUCCACAGAUGGCCCAGAUACAUACCCUGAGGCCAUGUUUGAAAAUGGUUCCCAGUGCUAGAAGGAUUUAAAACUCUUUUAAUAGAAAUUAUAGUAGUAACAGGAAUUUCUGAUUGUGUUAAGUUUUAAAAACAAGCUGGUUUUCUUCCAGUAUGUUUGUACAUAGGCCAUGGCCUGUUUUGCUUAGACACUCACUCCUAAGUACCAUGUUAUCUGGAGCUUUCCCCCUUUGAGAUGAAAAGAGGCAAACAAAAGAAAAGACUCAAAGGUAAAAGAACAGAUUCUGUUCUGGGGUUAGCAGUAACUCUAAAUCCAAUAACUUCUGUGUGUAUGUCUAUAUAGAUAGAGAUAUAGACACACACACAUAUAU
rnacentral:lncRNA from 1 species